ensembl:snoRNA
GAGGAGUGAUGAUGCUGAGAAAUGGUUUCGCUUUUUGAGCUGAUGACAUCAUCAUGUGAUGUCACACUUUCUCUUGGCUGUCUGACCAA